AUUGAACGCUGGCGGCAUGCCUUACACAUGCAAGUCGAACGGCAGCACGGGAGCAAUCCUGGUGGCGAGUGGCGAACGGGUGAGUAAUAUAUCGGAACGUGCCCAGUCGUGGGGGAUAACGCAGCGAAAGCUGUGCUAAUACCGCAUACGAUCUAUGGAUGAAAGCGGGGGAUCGCAAGACCUCGCGCGAUUGGAGCGGCCGAUAUCAGAUUAGCUAGUUGGUGGGGUAAAGGCCCACCAAGGCGACGAUCUGUAGCUGGUCUGAGAGGACGACCAGCCACACUGGAACUGAGACACGGUCCAGACUCCUACGGGAGGCAGCAGUGGGGGAAUUUUUGGGACAAUGGGCGCAAGCCUGAUCCAGCAAUGCCGCGUGCAGGAUGAAGGCCUUCGGGUUGG
rnacentral:rRNA from 1 species